rnacentral:rRNA from 1 species
GAGAAACGGCUACCACAUCCAAGGAAGGCAGCAGGCGCGCAAAUUACCCACUCCCGGCACGGGGAGGUAGUGACGAAAAAUAACGAUAGGGACUCAUCCGAGGCCCCGUAAUCGGAAUGAGUACACUUUAAAUCCUUUAACGAGGAACCAUUGGAGGGCAAGUCUGGUGCCAGCAGCCGCGGUAAUUCCAGCUCCAAUAGCGUAUAUUAAAGUUGUUGCGGUUAAAAAGCUCGUAGUUGAAUCUGUGUGUUGCGCUGUCGGUUCACCGCUCGCGGUGUUUAACUGAUACGCCGUGACACGUCCUACCGGUGGACUCUGCCGUGCUCCUCGCGGGGUUUCGGCGAGUCCUAUUUUAAUCCCAUCGCGGUGCUCUUUACCGAGUGUCGAGGUGGGCCGGUACGUUUACUUUGAACAAAUUAGAGUGCUUAAAGCAGGCUAUUUUCGCCUGAAUACUGUGUGCAUGGAAUAAUGGAAUAGGACCUCGGUUCUAUUUUGUUGGUUUUCGGAACACCGAGGUAAUGAUUAAUAGGGACAGAUGGGGGCAUUCGUAUUGCGACGUUAGAGGUGAAAUUCUUGGAUCG